rnacentral:rRNA from 1 species
ACAUAAGUGAAUAUCACCUUGAACACACCUGAUCUUGUCUGAUCUCAGAAGCUAAGUAAGGUGGGGUUGGUUAGUAAUUGGAUGGGAGACAUUUUAACUUUUUUAAGAA